rnacentral:rRNA from 1 species
AGAGUUUGAUCCUGGCUCAGAUUGAACGCUGGCGGAAUGCUUUACACAUGCAAGUCGAACGGCAGCACGGACUUCGGUCUGGUGGCGAGUGGCGAACGGGUGAGUAAUACAUCGGAACGUGCCCAGUCGUGGGGGAUAACGCAGCGAAAGCUGUGCUAAUACCGCAUACGAUCUACGGAUGAAAGCGGGGGAUCGCAAGACCUCGCGCGGACGGAGCGGCCGAUGGCAGAUUAGGUAGUUGGUGGGAUAAAAGCUUACCAAGCCGACGAUCUGUAGCUGGUCUGAGAGGACGACCAGCCACACUGGGACUGAGACACGGCCCAGACUCCUACGGGAGGCAGCAGUGGGGAAUUUUGGACAAUGGGCGCAAGCCUGAUCCAGCCAUGCCGCGUGCAGGAUGAAGGCCUUCGGGUUGUAAACUGCUUUUGUACGGAACGAAAAAGUUCUCUCUAAUACAGGGGGCGAAUGACGGUACCGUAAGAAUAAGCACCGGCUAACUACGUGCCAGCAGCCGCGGUAAUACGUAGGGUGCGAGCGUUAAUCGGAAUUACUGGGCGUAAAGCGUGCGCAGGCGGUGAUGUAAGACAGAUGUGAAAUCCCCGGGCUCAACCUGGGAACUGCAUUUGUGACUGCAUCGCUGGAGUGCGGCAGAGGGGGAUGGAAUUCCGCGUGUAGCAGUGAAAUGCGUAGAUAUGCGGAGGAACACCGAUGGCGAAGGCAAUCCCCUGGGCCUGCACUGACGCUCAUGCACGAAAGCGUGGGGAGCAAACAGGAUUAGAUACCCUGGUAGUCCACGCCCUAAACGAUGUCAACUGGUUGUUGGGCCUUCGCUGGCUCAGUAACGAAGCUAACGCGUGAAGUUGACCGCCUGGGGAGUACGGCCGCAAGGUUAAAACUCAAAGGAAUUGACGG